rnacentral:rRNA from 1 species
CAAUAGCGUAUAUUUAAGUUGUUGCAGUUAAAAAGCUCGUAGUUGGAUUUCGGAUGGGACUUGCCGGUCCGUCGUUUCGAUGUGCACUGGCCAGUCCUAUCUUGUUGUCGGGGACUAGCUCCUGGGCUUCACUGUCCGGGACUAGGAGCUGACGAGGUUACUUUGAGUAAAUUAGAGUGUUCAAAGCAAGCCUACGCUCUGAAUACAUUAGCAUGGAAUAACACGAUAGGACUCUGGCUUAUCUUGUUGGUCUGUGAGACCAGAGUAAUGAUUAAGAGGGACGGUCGGGGGCAUUCGUAUUUCAUUGUCAGAGGUGAAAUUCUUGGAUUUAUGAAAGACGAACUUCUGCGAAAGCAUUUGUCAAGGAUGUUUUCAUUA